rnacentral:rRNA from 1 species
UACGUAGGGGGCUAGCGUUGUCCGGAUUUAUUGGGCGUAAAGAGCGUGUAGGCGGCCAGGUAGGUCUGCUGUGAAAACUCGAGGCUCAACCUCGAGACGUCGGCGGAAACCAUCUGGCUAGAGUCCGGAAGAGGAGAGUGGAAUUCCUGGUGUAGCGGUGAAAUGCGCAGAUAUCGAGAGGAACACCUGCGGCGAAGGCGGGUUGCUGGGCUGACACUGACGCUGAUGCGCGAAAGCCAGGGGAGCGAACGGG